UGUUGAGAAGCAAAGACAGGCUAGUAUUUCAUCCGGCUCAUAACCCGAAGGUCGUCAGUUCAAAUCUGCCCUCCGCAACCA
rnacentral:tRNA from 3 species